UUCCCACGCCUGGAAUGGAACCCGGGCCUUCUGGGUGAAAGCCAGAUAUCCUAGCCACUUGACCACUUGGGA